UACGUAGGGGGCUAGCGUUAUCCGGAAUUACUGGGCGUAAAGGGUGCGUAGGUGGUUUCUUAAGUCAGAGGUGAAAGGCUACGGCUCAACCGUAGUAAGCCUUUGAAACUGAGAAACUUGAGUGCAGGAGAGGGAAGUGGAAUUUCUAGUGUAGCGGUGGAAUGCGUAGAUAUUAGGAAGAACACCAGUGGCGAAGGCGGCUUCCUGGACUGUAACUGACGCUGAGGCACGAAAGCGUGGGUAGCAAACAGGAUUAGAUACCCGUGUAGUCCCUGAGCGGG
rnacentral:rRNA from 1 species